rnacentral:misc_RNA from 1 species
CGACUCCAGGCAACCUCACCAGGCUCAGGUACCACAUUCUCGUGCUCACUCCUGCUGGGGUAACUUGUCUCCCGGUGGUGCCACGGACUCAGCUGAGGAGGAACGGUGCAGAGGCCUUAAUUACAGUUGUGUUAGCUUCUCUACACCCGAGACUCUGAUUCCUGCUGGUGCAAGAUGUCAUGGACACUGAAGAUCGUGUUGGUACUGGUGGCGUGCCUGGUGACUUGUGCCUCCGCCGGAGAUGAUGAAGAAGCCACUAAUGGCCUCACCAGGACGGUAAUCACAGUGCCGGUGGUGAACCAGACCUUGGGGACAGAAGAGAAGCUCGUCACUAUCGGUCAGGCAGAUCUGACAGCCCUGGCAGUUGUUAAGGCGGUCAUUUACACGGGACUGAUCCUUGGAGUUCUUCUCCUGUUCUCUGUGCUCAUCUUCGGUAUCAGCACGAGACUGUAUCCCGAGAAGGAACUGGAGCACCUGGAGUACUACGACGAUCACAAAUAUUACGGCUCUCAACGCCAUCCGCGGUCAGUAGUGGACGAUGUGUCCUUCCUCACUCAGGUCUUCAAGAGUAUCGACACCGUUGAGUCAGCCCUGGAUACAAUGAAGGUGGACCACCUGGCCUGCCGAGAGCUGGCUGUGUGUCACCUACAGCGUAUCGCCUCUAAGUUACCUUCACUUGGUUUACUCCUGCAGGUUAUCAGUCCGUCCAUCAGUGGUAUGGAGAAGUACAGGGAGGCACAGGAGGCUGGUGCUGCCCUGGAGGACUGCACACUGCUCUACUCUGAGUGUCCCACCUCCCUGGCCCGCUUCUUGAAGGGAGACCACACAGGCUAAAGGCCUUCAGGGACGUCUGACCACAAGCCUGUCUCUAACAUGAUUUUAAUGAUAGUUAUUCAAGUUGAUUCUAAUGAAGCAUGAAACUGGAACCUAUAAUCUAAAUCCAUCAAAAGAUUUACAAGUAAUCUUAUGCCACGAUAAGAGUAUCUAAAGACACACUGUAAAGGAUUCGAAUCUAUUUACUAAAGAGAUGUGUUAUCCAGUUAUAUGGAAUCUAUAAGAAAGUUUCCCCUUGCAUAGAUAAGCAGGGUACGUGAUGUGCUAUAAUUACUAUUACAUUUAUCUCAUUUAUAAGCCUGCCAGUUAAGCUAAGUUUACUUAUGGCCAGUAAAAACGUAGCAGCUCGCUGUACGUCUGUAACUAAACUAAGUCAUCACCAAAAAAGUGACCGAGACACAAAAUACUAGCUUGUUAUUUCUGUUUAAUUCUCUUAAGACCUUCUUGAGUAGUUACUUCACCAUGACUCGUCUACGAGUGACCAAUAUCGUGAUUUCACCAAGACGCUCACUUCCAUACUGGACACCGAACUCCUGCUUGCUGUAAACACUGUUAAGUUCAUUCACAGGUUCACAUAAACCAAAAAUAAACGUAUGAAAAUUUACUAAGAAUUUCAUGAAUGGGGACUAACUUCAGGAGAUGAUAAGACUGCCACUUAUUAAGAUUGCUAAAAAAGCUUUUUCUAACAUAGUAUUUCAAAGACUGCGUACAAUUUAACCUGAGAGUAUAAUAAUACAGAAUUUAUAAAGCCUUUCUCCUGUGGCACAUUAUAACAGAGUUCAUAAUGUUUAUUUGAUAAUGCACUAGUACCUUGUUACGUGCUUGGAGACCUUAGUCGUUGAAACGUAACAACGGAUUAUGAAGUCAACGAAACAUUUUGAACGGCAUGACUUCAUCCUCAACGACUAUACCUUAUUUCCUAUGUUUUUCUUUUAAGACUCACAUCCUAUACUGACUUGAAUUACCAGAUCUAUAUGAAGUUUCACAUAGAAGAAAGACUUUAACUCAGCUUAUUCCUGCCAGAGGAGACUUUAUUAUGAACUAACCAAAGGCUAAAUCGACGUAAUUCAAGCUAAUUUGAUCUGCUAAACGAAGGAGACGUAGACUUACUUUGAAUAAUUACAUACAAUUUUCACCAUACAUAACUGAAUUAUAUGCAAUAGUUAGCACUCACCUGACAAAAACACUGUAACCUGAAUGAAGAUAAACCAUUAUGACCGUCAGUAUAUUAAGAUGAAAAUUAAUCUCGAUUAUGACGACAAAUGAUUUGAUUCUAUCUUCCACUCCACCCUGUCUUUAAUACACUAACCUCACCAAUUGAGUGUACAGAUACUCGUAAUCUUGACGAAUAUUAUAUCGCCUUAGCAUGUUUGUAAAUAUAUAUACACAAACAGAUAUACUGACUUCUGGACUUGGUGAGACUUUACGUAAUGACUGACCAUAAUUCCCUCUUAAACUUUUAUAUACCAGAGUGAUCUAUGAAUUAACUAACUAUAUGAGAGAUACGGUAGGCCUCUUUACGCUGUUUUCUGAAAUAUUGGAGAAAUCUAAAAAUUCUUCGUUACUCAGACAUCAAUCAGUGACAUAGGUUCGAUGUAACAUUUGGAGUCGUUAGUGUUACAUUUCAUAGGAUUUUUUUUUAUUAAAACAAUUUUAAUAAUAAUCAAAUGUUUGGUCUCUAUAUGGCAUCUUGGUGAACUGUUUGUUUUCUUAUUUUCAAAUAUUUUUCAUAGGCUGAAGAUUUUAAGGAUUUGUUAUAAAGACAAAAGGUGUGAUGUACUGCUCAAGUUGCUGGAAUUUCUUAUGUGUGUGUGUGUGUGUGUGUGUGUGUGUGUGUGUGUGUGUGUGUGUGUGUGUGUGUGUGUGUGU